GACUUCUGGUGUAAUGUGCCUGGCCCGCGGCUCUUUAGGCCUGUGAGUGCCGGUGCGCGUUUACCAUCCUUCUGGGGAACGGGUCUACCCUUUACUGGGAAAAAAUUAGAGUGUUUAAAGCAAGCAAUUGCCAUGAAUACAUUAGCAUGGAAUAAUAAUCUAGGACUUCGGUUCUAUUUUGUUGGUUUCUAUAACUGAAGUAAUGAUUGAUAGGGAUAGUUGGGGGUGCUAGUAUUGGCCGGUCAGAGGUGAAAUUCUUAUUCGGUCAAGACUAACUUAAGCAUU
rnacentral:rRNA from 1 species